AUUGAACGCUGGCGGAAUGCUUUACACAUGCAAGUCGAACGGCAGCACGGGGCAACCUGGUGGCGAGUGGCGAACGGGUGAGUAAUAUAUCGGAACGUGCCCAAUCGUGGGGGAUAACGUAGCGAAAGUUACGCUAAUACCGCAUACGAUCUACGGAUGAAAGCGGGGGAUCGCAAGACCUCGCGCGAAUGGAGCGGCCGAUAUCAGAUUAGGUAGUUGGUGGGGUAAAGGCUCACCAAGCCAACGAUCUGUAGCUGGUCUGAGAGGACGACCAGCCACACUGGAACUGAGACACGGUCCAGACUCCUACGGAGGCAGCAGUGGGGAAUUUUGGACAAUGGGCGCAAGCCUGAUCCAGCCAUUCCGCGUGCAGGAUGAAA
rnacentral:rRNA from 1 species